rnacentral:rRNA from 1 species
UACGGAGGGUGCAAGCGUUAUCCGGAGUUACUGGGUGUAAAGGGUGUGUAGGCGGGUAUUUAAGGCAGGGGGGAAAUCUCCGAGCUCAACUUGGAAACUGCCAUUGAUACUAUUUAUCUUGAAUUUUGUUGAGGUAGGCGGAAUAAGUCAUGUAGCGGUGAAAUGCAUAGAUAUGACUUGGAACACCAAUUGCGAAGGCAGCUUGCUAAACAAAUAUUGACGCUGAGGCACGAAAGCGUGGGAUCAAACAGG